UCUCAUGCGGGCUCCACUUUACCAAUAAGAUAUUAUUUCUUUUCUUUCUCUCCCUUCAUUCACUCCCUCCGUCCCAACCGCUCACUCUCUCUCUCUCUCUCUCUCUCUCUCUCUCUCUUUACUCAUCCAAUUUAUUUUUCCUUUCCCCACAUCCACCCAUUCAGACUUUUUCUCUUCCUCACUUCACACUCUCCCUUCUCACUCACGAUUCUCUCCCUCUUUCUCCCACAAAAGAAAAAUAUCUCUCUUUCUUUUAUUAUUCUGAUUUCUUUCUCUCAAAAACAAAAGCUGCAGAACACUUUCUCUGAACCUUGUCUACAACUUCUCUUCUUCCUCCUCACCAUUUUCUUCUUCCCAACAUGUCUGGAACAACACCACCACCACGAGCCAAAACCGCGAGCACCACCACCUCCAUGCCUCUUACACGCAGCAACCACCACUGUCCCUGUUCUGUUUUUUUUGUUUCCUCUCCAUGAGAGCCACCACCAAAACCCUAGCCGCCACCUUGUUCCUCCGAUCUCCGGCGAACCAUUAAGUUUUUGGAGAAACAAACACCACCACUGAACUCCCCUCAUCAUCCGCAACAAAACACCUCCAUCGAUUCGAUGAUCGGCCACCGUGACUCCGGCGACCGCCGCCGCCGCCGCCUUCUCCGGCGAGUUUUGUUCUGAGAAAGGAUGCCAAUUUCUUGAAGCUCUCAACCUCCUCUUCCUGAAUCUAAGGCUUAAUCAUCAUUAAGAGUCUCAAUGGCUACUCGAGGAAGGGGAGAGCACGACCAGAGGAAGAAGUGAAGCUCAGUCCCAUGACCAUGAGACUUGAGGUAGAAGGAGAAAGAAUUGAACACUGUGUUUAGAAAUUUUAUGUUAAUAGGAAAAAAAAUAUAUAGUGGUAGUAUUUUGGGCUUAUCCUUGUAUUAAUUAUUUAUGAUGGAAAAUGGUAUUGUUGGUGUCUAUAUUGGUAUUGUUAUUCUAAAAAUAAAACAAUAUGUUAAAGUUGAAGUAAAUGUUUUGAGGGUUACACUUAGGUUAUUUUGGCUGAUGAGAUCAAUGGAGUUAUAUUGAAAAUAAAUAAUUAAAAAUUUCAAUCCUUUGUGUAA